ACGCGGCACCCGUGCGCCGUGCGCCGUGCCAGGCUGCUGGCACAGCACCCGGGAGCCCGGCGCGGGGCACGGCAGGCAGCUGCCUGUGCAAACCCUCUUCCACUUCCCCACAGAGCGCUGCCGCCUCGAAGACACCACCGGGGCUCCCCUUCCCCGCUGUUGCCAUCCCCUGGGAAUCUCUCACUGCCUUGUUGGCCUCAGCUUUGGCAGCAGCUGACGAGCGGGUCUACACUGUCCAUCUGGUGCAGGCUCAGCUUUGCUGCUAGCAGCUAGCUUGGCUGCUUAGAUACACUAUAAGAUCAUGCCAGAGCACCAAGAUGGAGAAAAAUAGGUCCCCAGCAGAAAUCCGUGGCAGGGAGGGCCAGAUUGUGUAUCACAGAAACAGAGUAGGGCACACUAAAUACAGUAGGUCCUGCACUGGUUCUCCUGGCAGGCCAAAAAAAAGCCUCCAUGCCCCAAAGGACACCAUCCCUCAGCAACCCACUGUAAAGCCCAGAGUCUCUCAGCCCCACUGAGUAGUUACCACCGUUUGGCACUUGUUUGUGCAUUUAGUUACACUUCUCCAUAGCAACCACACAGAUCCCAGCUUGACUUGCCACCAGGCAGGAGCGGGUGUGCGGAGCACGGUGCACCAACGCUCUCAGAGUCGUGUUGGUACGUGCCCAGGCUGGGCGCUGACUCCACGUCUGCUCUCCUGGGGGGGACCCACACUGCGGGUGUGGUGCGGUGACUUUGGCAGGGGGCCUGAAGCUGCACAGGGAACUGGGUGCUCUCUUCCUCGCAGGUAUGGAUGCUUGUAGACAGUUUACUGGUGCUGAAUAAUGGACACCAGCCCCUGCCGCAGGGCUCUAGAUGUCGUCUAACUCAAAAUUUCUACUGUUCUUGCCUACCAGGGAAAGUUUUGAGCUUUUUUCAUUUUCACAGUUCCUCCUGCAGCCUUUCAAGUCACUGCCACGAUCCGCUCUCCUUUGCUGACAUUCCCGUCAAAAUUGCCCUGCUCUUCUUUGAUUUAUUUGUAUUUUGCCUUUUUCUGCUUCCUCCAUGCCAACUACAGAAAGCAGAAGGCACCCGCCCUCCUGCUUCUCCCAAGACCCUCACAAUUUUGCUUAAAAGAGUUUUGAUUCAUUUUACUGGGCUGGGCUUCAGUUUGUUUAAAUGUUUUUCCACCAUCUCCUCUCAGAAAGGGUAAAAGAGAAUGAAAGAAGGUUUGGAGGCAGGCAGUAAGGAUGUUCAGAGAUAUGGGAACAAACUGUACAGUGAAAAACAGUGUAGGCUGGGACUCUUGAGCUUGGAAGAAGGACACAGGGUGGAGAAGAGGUCUAUAAAAUCAUAAGUGGCCCAGAGAAGAUGGGGAGGAUUGAUUAUUUGCUGUGUCUUCUGACGCAAACCUGUAAACCGCUUUUGCCUUGACUGGAGCCUCAAAGGCACAAGAAACUACUGUGCUGCAGGUGUUGUCCAAAGGUUCAGUGCCCUUUUCAGCCCACACUUCUUGCUACAUUGGGGGCGAAGUUCAUGGCACGCCUUUGAGAGGCGUGCUUAAAGAGUCCUGCCUCAGAAAUAUUUUGUAACCAUGUUUUCACGUGGAGAACUCGGCCACCGCCAAGUGGACCUUUACCAAAUUGUUCAACAGAAAAAUAUUCAGAGCUGGGAGGAGAAUGAGCUGGAUGAAUCCCAGCCUAGAGAGAGAGUCCUCCAGAGGGUUGUAUCUUGCAGGAACCGUCUUGUAGGGAAAAAGGGUUGCCACUGAGACUGUAAUUUUUCUGCUGCACUGCCAACCCCACAGCAGCCUGCAAGGGUGAGUGAUGAGGCCUCCUGGGUUGGUUGUCCUGUUCUACAGAAGAAAUCCCCCUCCCCUGACUCUGCCCUGGAAAGUAAGUGGAAUUGAGAUGGUCCCACAUUUUCUAGGACCACAAGAGGGCAAUAUGAGAGCACCCUGCAGCCAGCCAGGCUCAGCAAGGUAACCUGUGACUCUGCUGGGAUGCAGGUGGCACGGGCAGCUAUGUAUGGGCUCAGCAUCACCCUGUCCAGGGACUACUCAGCUGAAUUAACCAACUGAGAGCCCUUUCGUUCCUCUCAGCUUCAUACAGAUCCCCAGAGGUCAGCAGUCAGCUCAGCCAGCAGAGCUAGUGCCGUAGUUGGGGGUAACAAUAUCUUCCCACGCAGGGGCUGGACACAAGGUGACAGCAGACCCCUGUGUGCUGCAUGGGGCCAGGCUGUGGGACACGGGGUGCCCUCCCUCGUCCUGCCUGCAUGUCCACCACGAAAUCUUUUGGGUGAACGUGCACUGACGUGUGGCUUCAAGCAGGAGGGUCCAGCAUCUGCAGUGAUGCUGCUCGGCUUGGCCAGUGGAAGAAGUGUUAAACCACAUGGAAUUUUGAGCAUCUCAGCCUCGCCAUUCUUUUUAAUUUUCUUCUGCUACAGGACAAAAAAAAAAAGAUAAAAUUGAAGGCUUGGAAUUCAGCUUUGGCUGUGACUGCUGAACAGGGCAGUGUCUCCAGCCCACUCUGGCCUCUACAGACCAAAAUCACUCAGCCACAAUUAAGUGCAUUACCAUUCCUGGCACUUUGUAGCCUGUAUAAUUAUUCUGCAAGGGACAGCUUCCUCUGCCUUUACAAGAACUGGCAUGACAGAGAAAAAGCUUCUGUUAGCAGGCAGAGCUACAACUGUGUGUGUGCUGCUAAUGCUGAAAAUGCCACCAGCAUCUUGUAGCACAGGCAGAGGAGGAGGUGACAGUGAGGGAUGAAAUGCAGAAUAUUGCUUAUGCAGAAGGGUGAUACAGGUUGCUCUCAAGAAAUGAAGAGACGUUUGGAAAAGAGGAGGAGCAAAGGGAUGUUUGGGGGACACUUUUUGGACAGGCUUGAGACAGAGAGACAAACAGUGUAACCAAUGGCUGUAUGGGGGAGAUAGGGAUAACCAGCCAAGGAAAAAGAAAUCACUGGGGCGUGCUGUUUAUCCCUCUGGAGUUAUUUAUUUUCAAUGAAGAAUGCUAGAAAGGUUUUGCCUGCUUAAGAUAUUUUUACCAUGGAAAUAACCAGCUUUGUUUCUACUCUUGCUUCCACUCCAAACCUGCCUGCACAGCCUAAGCAGCAUUUUAAGACUCAGCCUGUAGUACCCCACCUCACUGAACAAUGGAUCCCAUCUCUCCUAACCCAAUUACAACUCACGUGGCUUAUGUGGUACCUGCACAGCACACUGCUGGCAUCAAGCAUACACACUUCCCCAUUGCACAUUGACAGGACCAAGGUUCAGGGUAUUUGUCUCAAAGGAACAUCAAAUAACUUGGCUUGCACUUCUACUCAUCAUCAAUUGUAAAACCUCACAUAUUUGCUCCUGUGCUCAGACUAAUAGUUUGUGUUGGCUAUAGCAGACCCCCCAGCAAACCAUCUGUUUUGGGCCUGAAGACAUAAGGAGAUGGGAUCAUCUUCGGCUUUUCCAGAGUGCAUCAUUUCAGCCUGUCUGACUACCAAUAGUCCAAACCAGGUACUAAAAAGUCCCAUCUACACAUCAAGAUCAGGACAUGACCUUGGACCACCACUUCCCAAUGUUGCCAACCAGCAAUAGGUGUGCUACAUAUGGUUCAAACUGUCUUCAGAGAUGCUCACAUCACUGCCUGCUUUAAAACUGACCUUCCCCUAACUUCAGGGUCUACAGGCAGCAAGUGUCCUUACCUGAGGGAGAAGUGUGGCACUCACACCCAGAGGACUAGUGCCAGGAUUCGUGUGCCCAGACCAAGGAAUGGAAAAAUGGAAGAAAGUGAUUCAUAAACCCAAUCAAUGGCAUCAUCCUAGUUGUGUACUGGAAGAUGGGCCUCAGUAUGUGCACUCACAAGCCCUGGGUCUUAUGGCUAUAGGAUAAGCCUAUUCCAUCAGGGAAGGAAAGGCAAAUUUUCAGUAAUUUUGCUGAUGGAAAGCAAAGUUAACCAAUGCUGGUUAACUGCUGCCAGCUGUCUAUAACAACAUUACUUAAUAAACAUUUUCCCUAGA